rnacentral:rRNA from 1 species
UACGGGGGGGGCAAGCGUUGUUCGGAAUUACUGGGCGUAAAGGGCUCGUAGGUUGCCAACUAAGUCAGACGUGAAAUCCCUCGGCUUAACCGGGGAACUGCGUCUGAUACUGGAUGGCUUGAGUUCGGGAGAGGGAUGCGGAAUUCCAGGUGUAGCGGUGAAAUGCGUAGAUAUCUGGAGGAACACCGGUGGCGAAGGCGGCAUCCUGGACCGACACUGACACUGAGGAGCGAAAGCCAGGGGAGCAAACAGG